AUCGCUUCUUGGCCUUUUGGCUAAGAUCAAGUGUAGUAUCAAAUGUGUUUGAGUAAAAACAGUCCUAAUCUAUUGAAAAUUUAAAUUCUAACAUAU
ensembl:snRNA LOC120100420 U2 spliceosomal RNA